rnacentral:lncRNA from 1 species
GGGCUUUAUGGUUACAGGAUAUACAUUCAAGUCUUUAAUCCAUUUUAAUUUUUGUGUAUGGUAUAAAGUAGUGAUCUAGUUUUUUUUUUUUUUUUUUUUUUUUGCACGUGGCAGUCCACUUUUCCCAACAUUAUUUAUUGAAGAAAACUAUCCUUUCCCCAUUGUAUAUUCUUGAGUCUUUCGUCAUAAAUUAAAUGACCAUAUACAUAUGAGUUUAUGUCUGGGCGCUCUAUUCUGUUCCAAUGAUUUAUCUGUUUUUAGGCCAAUACCAUAUUGUUUUAUUACAGCUUUGUAACAUACUUUGAAACAAGGAUGUAUGAUGCUUCCAGCCUUGAUCUUCUUUCCCAAGAUAGCUUUAGCUAUUCAGUCUUUUGUGGUCCCAUACUAAUUUUAGGGUUGUUCUGUUACUGUGAAAAAAGUGCCAUGCGAAUUUUGUUAGGGCCUACAUUGAAUCUGCAGUGACUGCACUGAAUUUGGGUAGCACCGACAUUUUAUAAAUUGUUCAAGUCUUCUAAUUCUUCAGCAUGAAUUACCUUUCCAAUUAUUUAUGUCUUCUUCAAGUUCUUUCAUCAAUGUCUGGUAGUUUUUAGUUUAUCAAUCUUUUACAUCUGGUUAAAUUUAUUCCUAGGUAUUUUAUCUUUUUGAUGCAAUGUAAAUGGCGUUGUUUUCUUAAUUUCACUUUCUGAUUUCUCUUACUUUUUUGUUGUUAGUGUACAGAAACAACUGAUUUUCAUGUGUUUAUUUUGUAUCCUAUAACUUUACUGGAUUCGUUGAUUAGUUCUAACAGUAUUUUGCUGAAAUUGCCAGGAGUUUUCUAUAUAUAUAAUACCACGAAAGAAGUAAAACUGUAUUUGCAGAUGACACUGACUUCCUUUAUAGUCAAAUUUUUCAACCAUACACGGUGAUUAUUUGCUAUGAAAGCUAAACUUAUCCAUGCCCACCUGGCCUCAAUUACACUUUUUUUUUUCUUUAAGGGAGGAAAACAAUUACUCUAUAGGAAUAAUGGGAAUCACAUAUCUGUAUUCACUUUCAUUUUUAUAAAGUAUAGUAUUGACCACGUUGGCUAUGGAGUGGCCAGGAAGGCUAACUGCAUCGCAAAGGGCUGGUUCUUGUAUUCCCUUUCUUCUUUAAGAAAAGGCUAGACCAUUUGGACCUGGUGUGUUUGUUGACUGUUCUCAGUGACCUCAAGUCACACAGUGGUCUGUUCCCUACUGGCACUUAUCUGCCUUUUAACCUUGGCCACACUAAUAUAAUUUUUAUCCUGUGGCACAGUCAGAAACAGUAAAUACCUUUAGUAAUUCAGAAGAUUUUAGAAAACUGAAAUUUUACAUAUUGACCAUUAAUCUUUGUAGUACAUGAAGCAUUUAAAAAACAACAACUAUGUAAUGGUAAAGAAAAAUUAGGGGACACAUCUAUACUGUGGAUUUUCAUGAUAUCAUUUAUGGAAUUAAAAAACAUAAAAGUAUUACUUAUCUAUCUAAUGCUGCUGGCUCAAUGUUAGGUGAGCAAAACAAUAUAUUCCCUGUUAUUUCUACUAUUUUACUUUUCCUCCAAAAGAACAAAGUGUGUAAGUUUUGGUUACAAGGAUGAAAUAAGAUUAAAUAACUUAAAUGUGCAAUGUAAACUGUAAGCUAUAUGCUGGGUUAUACAAAUGUGAAUUGACUACUUACCUUAAAUUGAUUUUGAUUAUUUCUGCAGAGAUCAUUUGAAUCUUGAAUUUUUGUGAGGAUCAGAUGUUGUGUUCUUAUUAAUUUGCUACUCUGUGCAAUGCAUUGUAUGUGAAAAUGUCAGUUUCUCCUCUUUUUAUAAUUAUGAAAAUAUCAAAGGGAAAUACUGUUUUGUUAAUUUUGCCAGAUCAGUCAUAAGAAAGCACUGUUUUUAGCAAUUAAAGUUUAAACAUGAAAAGGAAGAGCAUGAAGUAAAUGAUAUGACUGCUUUUGACUCUCCAUUCUAUGACCUUGAAUUGCACCUAAAUCAAUAAAAUAUUAAUAUCCAUAUUUAUUGGAGUUGAAAAUUAAUUAAAUGAUCAUAAAACUUUUCUGAGGAAAUAAGAACAAACUAUUAGAAAAUAUAUUUUCUAUAAUGGUAACUUCAACGGAAUGAAUGUUUAAAAUAUUUUUUCUGGUAUUUUUCAUCCUGAGAUACAGACUUACAGCAUCAAAUGGCAACAUAAGAGCCUUAGGGUACAGUUUCGGGAAAGGCAGUCAUUAUGCUAAAUUCCAAAGCAAUAAAACCCUCUAUUUUUAAUUUGCAAUGGCAACCAGAACCUAAUACAUCAAAAUACACAUACAUUAAGAAACAGUUCAGAAAGUGAAUGGAAGUGUUCAGAUGGAAACCUUAUGAGAAUUUAUGAUGUAUUUUGGAAGCAUUUGUGACUCCUCAGGUUUUCGUGGCACGUCAGGUUUAAUACCACAGAUCUAGUACACCUAUAUCUACGUAUCGAUAAUAUCUAUCUACAUAUUCACAAACCACAGUAAUGUCCGAAACAGAAAAGAAUCCAAGUGAAGUAUUCAGAUAAAAGUGACGUAGGUUCAGAACAAGACUACUAUGCUCUUAUCUUCAGUAGUUUGCAAAUAGUAAAAGGAAAGAAUCCAACAGAAGUAACAGGAAUAAUUAGUUCACAGAAAAUAAAUAAUGAAAUGGACAAUAUUUGGCACAAUAAUGAAAAGGAAAAGUAUCACUUUUCAAUUCCAGAAUAUGGACAUUUCUUUUGGAGGUAGAUUUUAAUAAAAUCAACACAUACUUGUCUAACAUUUCUGUACAGAGAAAUCUCACUAGCUACUGAGUAUCAAAAACACUGGAGAAAACAUUUAUUCCUGGUUGAGUAAUGGUAAACAACUGAAGGUGGACAGAAAAAAGUGAAAAUCCACAGCAUAAUUUAGAUUGGGAAUUGGUAACUAUCCUAGAAGGGCCCCAGUUUUAAGGAGCCAUGCUUGCAUAGAGGACAGGAAUUACAGUUUGGUACUGUAUUCUUCCCUUCUGAUUGCCAUAACAAAAUACUACAGAUGGGGUAGCUUAAACAAAAGAAACCGGUUUUCUCACAGUUCUGGAGGCAGUGAGUCCACAAUCGUAAUUCCAGAAAAUCUGAUUUCUGGUGAGGCUUGCAGAUGGCCAAUUUUUGCUGUAUCUUCUUAUGAACCUUUUCUCUGUGUGCAAGUGGAGAGAGUGCUCUGUUGUCUCUUCCUCUUUUUUUUAAUAAGAGCACUGUGUUAUAGGACUAGGGCCCCAUCCUUGUGACUUCAUUUAACCUUAGUUACCUCCUUAAAGGUGCUAUCUCCAAAUACAAUCACAUUGGGGGUUAGGGCUUCAACAUAAUGAUUUGUGGGGGCACAAUUAGUUCAUAACAGGGACAGACCUAAAUGAGCAGCAGGACUGGUGAACUCCCCAAAAGGUAGUACUCUCAAUGAGUAAACCAGAAAGUACCCAAAUGUCCCCUUCCUUACUCUAAGUAGAUCUGUGAAGGGGGGAAUGCCAAUACAUAUGUUUGAGGAUGAAGUUCACACUACUUGUGAGUAAAUGUAUGUGUAUGCACUGAAGGGCAGUGGAAAAUGAAGUGAUCCAGGGAUUGUCAUGCCACAAGAAACUGGUAGUUCAAGAAAAAGAAAAACUAUCUUCUCUAUAAGAACAUAUUUUAAACAAAAAUCUCCCAAUAUAAAGCUUAGAGGGAUACCAACUCACAACCACUGAUCUUAUUAGAAAACAAAUCACCAUAGACUUGUUUCAAAUAAAACAACGCACAACAAAUUGUAGAUUUACAGCCACAAAAAGAGAAAAAUGUGAAAUUAUCAUAUAUAGAACAUAAGUACAUUUAAUAUAUUUUAAGAAAAGAAAACAAGGAAAUAAUGGAACUAUCCCAAAUGAUCAGGAAUGUUUGAGAAAGAAAAAUACAACACUUUUGGAAAUUAAAAGAAAAAAAAAAAAACACCUGUAAUUAAAAACUCAACAGGUUAUAAAUAGGUUAGAGAUGGUGAGAACACAAGAAUUAGGGAAAUGGAAAACAGAUUUUAAGAAAUUAUUCAGAAUUCAACACACUAAAGAAAGAGACUGAAAAUAUGGAACGAUAUAAAAGAGAUACAGAGAACAGGGUGUGAUGACUUCCUAAAGGAGAGAACAGAUAGAAUGAGUGAUACACAAUAUUUAAAAGAGAUAAUGGUUCAAAGUUUCCAGAAUUUAUGAAAACCACUAAUUUUCGGGUUUAGGAAGCUCAAAAAAUGUGGACAGGAUAAUAAAAAGAAAUUUCAAAACACUUAAAAACACUAGAAUUAAAAUAAUUAAAAAAUUCACAGCUAGACACAUAUUAUUAUAUGGACUUUAAUUAUGAAACACCAAAGAUACAGACUGUAAACCUGAGAGAGAAGACAGAUUAGCUUCAAAGGAGUACUGAUCAGACUUAAAACUGAGAUUUCAGAAGCAACACUGAAACAAGAAGAUAAUUAAAGAAUAUCACUCAAUACUGAGAGAAAAUAACCAUCAAUCUAGAAUUGUAGACCCAGCUAACUUUCAAGGAUAAUAAAAUGAUAAACCAUGGGUAAAUCUAAAAAAUACCGAUCAUAUAAAAUAAAAGAGCUAUUUUUAGAGUUAAACUGAGAUAAAUUAAAAUUUUAGACACUAAUUAAUUGAGGAAUCAAACUUUGCCCAAAAGUCUCCCAUGUUUAGGAACACAGUAAAGUUACUAACUUUAGAUUUUUUAAACUAUGCAGGUUAAAUUUCUUGGUAAGCAUUAAAGGUUAAAAACUGAGUUUUACCCUCUCAACUAGUCGAGGUAGAAUAAAUGGGAAAAGCAAAUAAAAAUUAAUCUUCAAGAAAGCAAAAGAAAACAAAAACCAACACAAUAGGCAGUGAGGAAACAGAAAAGGUAGAACAAAAAGCACAAAAGAUGAUACAAAUGAGUCCUAAUACAUUAAUAGUUUCAACAAAUUUAAAUGUAUUAGAUAGAAAAAAAAAUCCAGUUAUAACUUUUUUUUUUUAAUUAUUUAUUUAUGAUAGUCACACACAGAGAGAGAGAGAGAGAGAGAGGCAGAGACAUAGGCAGAGGGAGAAGCAGGCUCCAUGCACCGGGAGCCCGAUGUGGGAUUCGAUCCCGGGUCUCCAGGAUCGCGCCCUAGGCCAAAGGCAGGGGCUAAACCACUGCACCACCCAGGGAUCCCCAGUUAUAACUUUUAACUUACAAAUACUAACCAGCUGAUGUGUGUAGCCUAUAGAACUUAAAAGCAAUAAAAAAUGAAAUAAAAACAUUACUAGAAAUAGAGGCUAUGACUACAAGAUUCAAUUUUAAGCUUGAAAGAUAAAAAAAAUUCUAAAAUUGUUACGUAUCUAGUAACAAAGCUACAAAAUAUAGGAAAAAAAUUGAUAGAAUUACAGGAAGAAUUAGAAAAUUCACUAGUAUAGGAAAUUUCAACACAUCUCAGGGAUUACACGGAAGGAAAACAACAGUAAAGUAAGGGAUUAUUUGAACAACAGAGUAAGUUUUGUCUAAUGGAUACCCAACAACUAGAAAACACCAUUAUGUUAGGGACUAAUGAAACACAAAAAUUAACAAUACUUUACAGGUCAUAAGAUAACACAUUUCAAUGUAUAGGUCUUAUACCAACCUAUUCUCUAACCACAAUCCAACUGAAGCUUAAAUCAACAAGAACAAUUUAAAAAUCUACAGGUUAAGAAGUGAAAAAAAAAAAAAAAAACAAACCCACAAACAUGUAAGUCAAAAAAAAAAAAAAAAAGACAAUACUCAGACCUUAAAAAUAAAUAUUUCUAUAGUACUUUAAAAGGCCAGAACAUUACUUCACUUGCUCAUUACAAAAUAAUCCUGUGAGCUACACAGAACCCAUAUUAUCUCUGCUCAACAGCAUAAACAGAAAUGUUGUAAAUUAUGUAAUUACUAAAGUUGAUUUUUAUAUGUAAAUAAAAUAUCAAAAAUGAUUUGGAAACUGUGAAAUAUAAGUGAAAAUAUUAAGGGGAAGGCAAAUCAACUGUCCUAUUUAUACACUAUGUUGAUGAGCUAACAAGGUUACAAAGGAAGAAUUUACUGUCUUAAUGUUUAUGGUUCAAAAAGCCUACCAAUUUAUUUUGGUUUAGGAAGUCCUUUAGAUCCUCAUAUAAAAUAUACAACCUUGUAUGGUAUUUAUUAUUCAUAUGAGAGGAACAUAUACCAUCAGAAACCUUCGCUGCACAAGUGGAGUAACCACAGUUAAGAGCACAUUUGCUCUCACACACAGUCCUGACUUCUUGGUUAUAACAUCUGUUCAAAUGGUGCGUUGGCAAUUAAUAGCAUUCCAAACACUGCCUACAGUACAAAGAGAAUUUUCAUUUAAGGUUCCCCUCCCUUUUCAUGUGUGGGCUAUUUUUGGAAGUAAGGUCUUAUUUUUUUCCAUCCACUGAAAGAGAAUUAAGAAAAUUCCAACAUGCCUUAGUGUCAGCAAGUGCUCUUUUUUUAGUCCAGGUACCAGAGAAUGAUUGAUGAACCUGUCAAGCCUACAGUAGCGGACAGAGAAAGUUGGCAGAAGUUCAGUGUUAUUGAAAGAAAUCUCAAAUACUUAUUUCAUCUCCUCUAUUAACUUUAAUCACAUUUUCAACAUGCAGCCAAGAAUGAAGCUUUGACAGUAAGCCAUAAAUUUACACAAGUAAGCAUUGUCACUUUUCUGCAGUAGCAACACUGAGAUAACACAAGAGAGUUGGGUAUUUUCUUGUGCCUUUCUUUACUGAAGAGCAGUAAAAAAUAUUUGAAAGAUUUAUCCAUACCUCCAAUUCAUUUGCCAUAAGUCUCAGAAAUUAUUGCAUUUAAUUUUGCUUGGUUUACGGCAAAUAAAAAAAUCAACUUAGUUCCUUAAUUAGACUAUUAAAUGCAGAUUUUUUAAAGAUCACAGUGAUGACAGAAUUGGUACAUGUUUCAUCAUAAUACACCUGCUUAUGAGAACAGACGUUAAACACUAAAAAAGGAUUUACAUUUAACAUGGAUCAUUUGCCAUGUGGGCAAACACUUCUGGUUUAUUCAGAGCCAGAAUCUUUAUAUGGUUCCAGAGGGACUCCUUGGCAGAUUUUGCUGAUUACUCAUUAAACAGUUGAAACAUGUAUAGACAUUAUUU